rnacentral:misc_RNA from 1 species
GAAAUGCGAUAAGUAAUGUGAAUUGCAGAAUUCAGUGAAUCAUCGAAUCUUUGAACGCACCUUGCGCUCCUUGGUAUUCCUUGGAGCAUGCCUGUUUGAGUAUCAUGAAAUCUUCAAAGUAAAUCUUUUGUUAACUCAAUUGGUUUCUACUUUGGUAUUGGAGGUCUUUGCAGCUUCACACCUGCUCCUCUUUGUUCAUUAGCUGGAUCUCAGUGUUAUGCUUGGUUCCACUCGGCGUGAUAAGUUAUCUAUCGCUGAGGACACUGUAAAAGGUGGCCAAGGUAAAUGCAGAUGAACCGCUUCUAAUAGUCCAUUGACUUGGACAAUACUUUUAUGAUCUGAUCUCAAAUCAGGUAGGACUACCCGCCGAACUUAAGC